rnacentral:lncRNA from 1 species
UGCGCCGAACUUUGACAAUGGGCGCUAAUGUGUGACGGCGGCUUUACCGUACGGUGUAUACUGAGGUCUUACUCCCGAGGUCGUUGUUGAAUGACUUGGAUGAGUAAGGUGGUCGGUUGGUGUGAGGAUUCAUGGCAGAAUGGCUCGGAAAGCAUGGGAUAGUAUGGGGAAGGACUUGAAAGGCCUUAAGCAAUAAGCAAUAAGCAAUAAGCAGCUUGAAAUUGUGACGGCUCAAGUCCGGAUUAGGGCUGUGUGGCAUGAUAUCACUUCUUAUGUACUACAAAUGCCUAUUCCCCCAAAACCACACGAAAACUUCGUCCUUGCAUUCAGAGUUAUGACUCCCUGUGCAACCCUAAUGAUAACAAUAAGUCCAGAGUGAGAGUCUUAUGUGGAGACCAGAUCGGUAAUCCUCACUCGGCUAAUGAUUUUGCAGGGCCCGGGUAAUAUUACCGUAGGGGGGUACAGAACCGUUC